ACUGUUCUUGAAUGACCAAUUGAAGAAAUCUUCUACCAUCAUGGCACUUGACUGUUCAUUAGGCUCUUGCUGGUAAGGUCCCCUGUUCUCGAACAGAAGCUUCCAGAGUUUAACUCUACAAUUGGAUCUUGACUGAUAGCUAUCGUAAGAAAGCUGGUGACGUAACUCGGAUUGGUGAAUGUGUAAAUUGUCAAUAGCAUCCUUUCCAUGCAAAGGAAUCCCAAACCAGUCAAAGUCUUUGAAAUAGUGAAGGUACAUUAUAUUCCUUGAUUAGUAGUGAACUCAACGCCCUCAAUUCUCAGCGUAUGAACACAGCUGGUUGUUUUUUAUUUUUUGGCGGAUAGAUGCGUAAAUAUAACAAUAGAUGGUUUGUGACCUGAAAUCAGAGGGUAAUUCCAAAACAAGGCACAGAAUUAACUGCUUUUUAUAGAUCCCAUCAAUAUCAGUCAAG